AUACGGAGGUUGCAAGCGUUACUCGGAAUCACUGGGCGUAAAGCGCGCGCAGGCGGACUGAUAAGUUGGAUGUGAAAGCCUACGGCUCAACCGUAGAACUGCAUCCAAAACUGUCAGUCUAGAGUCUGGGAGGGGAAGAUGGAAUUAGUUGUGUAGGGGUAAAAUCCGUAGAGAUAACUAGGAAUACCAAAAGCGAAGGCGAUCUUCUGGAACAGUACUGACGCUGAGGCGCGAAAGCGUGGGGAGCAAACAGGAUUAGAAACCCUAGUAGUCC
rnacentral:rRNA from 1 species